GAUGAACGCUGGCGGCGUGCCUAAUACAUGCAAGUCGAGCGAACGGACGAGAAGCUUGCUUCUCUGAUGUUAGCGGCGGACGGGUGAGUAACACGUGGAUAACCUACCUAUAAGACUGGGAUAACUUCGGGAAACCGGAGCUAAUACCGGAUAAUAUUUUGAACCGCAUGGUUCAAAAGUGAAAGACGGUCUUGCUGUCACUUAUAGAUGGAUCCGCGCUGCAUUAGCUAGUUGGUAAGGUAACGGCUUACCAAGGCAACGAUGCAUAGCCGACCUGAGAGGGUGAUCGGCCACACUGGAACUGAGACACGGUCCAGACUCCUACGGGAGGCAGCAGUAGGGAAUCUUCCGCAAUGGGCGAAAGCCUGACGGAGCAACGCCGCGUGAGUGAUGAAGGUCUUCGGAUCGUAAAACUCUGUUAUUAGGGAAGAACAUAUGUGUAAGUAACUGUGCACAUCUUGACGGUACCUAAUCAGAAAGCCACGGCUAACUACGUGCCAGCAGCCGCGGUAAUACGUAGGUGACAAGCGUUAUCCGGAAUUAUUGGGUGUAAAGCGCGCGUAGGCGGUUUUUUAAGUCUGAUGUGAAAGCCCACGGCUCAACCGUGGAGGGUCAUUGGAAACUGGAAAACUUGAGUGCAGAAGAGGAAAGUGGAAUUCCAUGUGUAGCGGUGAAAUGCGCAGAGAUAUGGAGGAACACCAGUGGCGAAGGCGACUUUCUGGUCUGUAACUGACGCUGAUGUGCGAAAGCGUGGGGAUCAAACAGGAUUAGAUACCCUGGUAGUCCACGCCGUAAACGAUGAGUGCUAAGUGUUAGGGGGUUUCCGCCCCUUAGUGCUGCAGCUAACGCAUUAAGCACUCCGCCUGGGGAGUACGACCGCAAGGUUGAAACUCAAAGGAAUUGACGGGGACCCGCACAAGCGGUGGAGCAUGUGGUUUAAUUCGAAGCAACGCGAAGAACCUUACCAAAUCUUGACAUCCUUUGACAACUCUAGAGAUAGAGCUUUCCCCUUCGGGGGACAAAGUGACAGGUGGUGCAUGGUUGUCGUCAGCUCGUGUCGUGAGAUGUUGGGUUAAGUCCCGCAACGAGCGCAACCCUUAAGCUUAGUUGCCAUCAUUAAGUUGGGCACUCUAAGUUGACUGCCGGUGACAAACCGGAGGAAGGUGGGGAUGACGUCAAAUCAUCAUGCCCCUUAUGAUUUGGGCUACACACGUGCUACAAUGGACAAUACAAAGGGCAGCGAAACCGUGAGGUCAAGCAAAUCCCAUAAAGUUGUUCUCAGUUCGGAUUGUAGUCUGCAACUCGACUACAUGAAGCUGGAAUCGCUAGUAAUCGUAGAUCAGCAUGCUACGGUGAAUACGUUCCCGGGUCU
rnacentral:rRNA from 1 species